UCAAUAAGCGGAGGAAAAGAAACCAACAGGGAUUGCCCUAGUAACGGCGAGUGAAGCGGCAACAGCUCAAAUUUGAAAUCUGGCGCAAGCCCGAGUUGUAAUUUGUAGAGGAUGCUUCAGGGCAGCGGCCGGUCUAAGUUCCUUGGAACAGGACGUCAUAGAGGGUGAGAAUCCCGUAUGCGACCGGUUGGCACCCGUCACGUAGCUCCUUCGACGAGUCGAGUUGUUUGGGAAUGCAGCUCUAAAUGGGAGGUAAAUUUCUUCUAAAGCUAAAUACCGGCCAGAGACCGAUAGCGCACAAGUAGAGUGAUCGAAAGAUGAAAAGCACUUUGGAAAGAGAGUUAAAAAGCACGUGAAAUUGUUGAAAGGGAAGCGCAUGCAACCAGACUUGUCGGCGGUGUUCCGCCGGUCUUCUGACCGGUCCAUUCGCCGCCGACAGGCCAGCAUCAUCUGGGCGCGCCGGAUAAAGGCGUAGGGAAUGUGGCUCCUCGGAGUAUUAUAGCCCCGCGCACAAUACGGCGCCGCUCGGGUGAGGUCCGCGCUUCGGCUAGGAUGCUGGCGUAAUGGUUGUCUGCGGCCCGUCUUGAAACACGGACCAAGGAGUCUAACAUCUAUGCGAGUGUUCGGGCGUCAAACCCCUACGCGUAAUGAAAGUGAACGGAGGUGGGAAGCGCAAGCUGCACCAUCGACCGAUCCUGAUGUCUUCGGAUGGAUUUGAGUAAGAGCAUAGCUGUUGGGACCCGAAAGAUGGUGAACUAUGCCUGAAUAGGGUGAAGCCAGAGGAAACUCUGGUGGAGGCUCGCAGCGGUUCUGACGUGCAAAUCGAUCGUCAAAUUUGGGUAUAGGGGCGAAAGACUAAUCGAACCAUCUAGUAGCUGGUUCCUG
rnacentral:rRNA from 1 species